ACGGGUGAGUAACGCGUGGGAAUCUGCCUUAUAUGGGGGAUAGCCCGGAGAAAUCCGGAUUAAUACCGCAUACGCCCUACGGGGGAAAGCUGGGGAUCUUCGGACCUGGCGCUAUUAGAUGAGCCCGCGUUAGAUUAGCUUGUUGGUGGGGUAACGGCCUACCAAGGCAACGAUCUAUAGCUGGUCUGAGAGGACGAUCAGCCACACUGGGACUGAGACACGGCCCAG
rnacentral:rRNA from 1 species